rnacentral:rRNA from 1 species
CCCUUAGAUGUUCUGGGCCGCACGCGCGCUACACUGACGCAGCCAGCGAGCAUCUCCUGCGCCGAAAGGUGCGGGGAAUCUUGUGAAACUUCGUCGUGCUGGGGAUUGAUUUUUGAAAUUCUUGAUCAUAAACGAGGAAUUCCUAGUAAGCGCAAGUCAGCAGCUUGCGUUGAUUACGUCCCUGCCCUUUGUACACACCGCCCGUCGCUACUACCGAUUGAAUGGUUUAGUGAGAGAUCUGGACUGGGACCCUCUCGUUCAGCAAUGAACGAGGGGGAGACUGGGAAGUUUUUCUAACUGAAUCAUUUAGAGGAAGUAAAAGUCGUAACA